UACGUAGGUGGCAAGCGUUGUCCGGAAUUAUUGGGCGUAAAGCGCGCGCAGGCGGUUCCUUAAGUCUUAUGUGAAAGCCCCCGGCUCAACCGGGGAGGGUCAUUGGAAACUGGGGAACUUGAGUACUGAAGAGGAAAGCGGAAUUCCACGUGUAGCGGUGAAAUGCGUAGAGAUGUGGAGGAACACCAGUGGCGAAGGCGGCUUUCUGGUCAGUAACUGACGCUGAGGCGCGAAAGCGUGGGGAGCAAACAGG
rnacentral:rRNA from 1 species